GGCUUAAUGCGACACAGUAAUCCUAGCCGUAGAAUACAUACGCCGCGAGCGAGAGCAGUGCGAUUAGCCAAGUGAUCAGUGAAAAUAAUCUUUGAAAUAUUAACAAACUUUUUUCUCCAAUUUGAAAGUUCAACUAAUUCAAAAAAGGCUUGCAAAAUUUAAAUUGCAACUCGGCUGUUUAGAAAGUGAAAUUAUUUCGAAAUUAACUGACGUGACACAAUUAAGUGAAAGUAUAAGGGAUAUUUAAAUUAAUAACGGACAGUGUUUCAGUGUGCAGUGUUUCAGUGAUUUGAAUGCAUUAGAAGAGUAACAAAUAUAAAAUUCCAUCAGUUGAGCAUACACAAAGAAACAAAACAAAGACAAACAACAAUAAACGAGCAAGUAAAAGCAGCAAUUUAAUUGUUGGAAAAAUUCGGCGCCAUUUAGGGAAGCCAACGACGAUAGUCCACCAGUAGGAGCAGCGGCAGCAGCAAUAGUUAGCAACAAAUAAAAGGCAAGCGCCGAAAUAACGCAGAUACGUACCAGCACCAGCCCCAGUACCAACUCAAAUAAAAGUGAAAUUUUUGCCACACGCAACACAAU